ensembl:lncRNA novel transcript
UGUGUGCAACAGAAGGCAAUCUGAACAUAAGAACAAAUUAAGACAGCCUAGAAAUUGCACAGAUGAAGAAUCUACAAACAAGGACAUUAAAGAAUAUUAAAGCAGCACAGAGAAGUUAUUUCCAAGAAUUCAAGAAGCUUCAAAAAACAAAAGUUACACCAACACUUGUGAAGCUGGCCUAAUACACAGCAUGUGCACAAACCAAGACUUAUGUGGCUGAUGGCACCUUUUCAUCCAGAGCUUUGUGGUGUUCAAAUAAGGACUUCAGUGCUUUCAGCACUUCCACUUCGCUGGACACGCCUGCUGGAGACUGCGCUUGUCUCUUCACCACGGUCAUCCUAAGAGACCGCUCAUGCCUGGAGACAAG